CAGUAGCCACGGUAAUACGUAGGGUGCAAGCGUUAAUCGGAAUUACUGGGCGUAAAGCGUGCGCAGGCGGUUUGUUAAGACAGAUGUGAAAUCCCCGGGCUUAACCUGGGAACUGCAUUUGUGACUGGCAAGCUAGAGUAUGGCAGAGGGGGGUGGAAUUCCGCGUGUAGCAGUGAAAUGCGUAGAUAUGCGGAGGAACACCGAUGGCGAAGGCAGCCCCCUGGGCCAAUACUGACGCUCAUGCACGAAAGCGUGGGGAGCAAACAGGAUUAGAUACCCGCGUAGUCCCUGUCUCUUAUAA
rnacentral:rRNA from 1 species